rnacentral:rRNA from 1 species
UGAUACCCUAUUAUACUAUAACAUAAACAAUAAUUCAAAGAACUCAAACAAAAUAAAUUUGACGGUAUUAACUUUUACAAAGGAAUUUGUUUCUUAAUCGACAACCCACGAAUUAUCUUACUUAAUAAUUAUCUGUAUACCACCGUUCUUGGAAUUAUUAAAGAUUAAUCCCAUAAUAGAAGAAUUUAACCUAAAAAAUCAGGUCAAGGUGCAAUUUUAUUAAGCUGAAAUGAAUUACAUUAUUUAUAUUUACUUAUAAUAAGUGAAAUCUUAUUAAAAAUAGAAUUUGUCAGUAAAAUCUUAUCACAAUGAUUUUUUGAAAACAAUCAUUAAUAUGUACACAUCGCCCG